ACGGGUGAGUAAUAUAUCGGAACGUGCCCAGUUGUGGGGGAUAACUGCUCGAAAGAGCAGCUAAUACCGCAUACGACCUGAGGGUGAAAGCGGGGGAUCGCAAGACCUCGCGCAAUUGGAGCGGCCGAUAUCACAUUAGGUAGUUGGUGGGGUAAAGGCCUACCAAGCCGACCAUCUGUAGCUGGUCUGAGAGGACGACCAGCCACACUGGGACUGAGACACGGCCCAGACUCCUACGGGAGGCAGCAGUGGGGAAUUUUGGACAAUGGGGGCAACCCUGAUCCAGCCAUGCCGCGUGCGGGAAGAAGGCCUUCGGGUUGUAAACCGCUUUUGUCAGGGAAGAAAAGACUCCUACUAAUACUGGGGGUUCAUGACGGUACCUGAAGAAUAAGCACCGGCUAACUACGUGCCAGCAGCCGCGGUAAUACGUAAGGUGCAAGCGUUAAUCGGAAUUACUGGGCGUAAAGCGUGCGCAGGCGGUUAUGCAAGACAGAUGUGAAAUCCCCGGGCUCAACCUGGGAACUGCAUUUGUGACUGCAUGGCUAGAGUACGGUAGAGGGGGAUGGAAUUCCGCGUGUAGCAGUGAA
rnacentral:rRNA from 1 species